rnacentral:rRNA from 1 species
UGACUUUGAUCAUGGCUCAGGAUGAACGCUAGCUACAGGCUUAACACAUGCAAGUCGAGGGGAAACGAUAUUGGAAGCUUGCUUCCGAUAGGCGUCGACCGGCGCACGGGUGAGUAACGCGUAUCCAACCUGCCCACCACUUGGGGAUAACCUUGCGAAAGUAAGACUAAUACCCAAUGACGUCUCUAGAAGACAUCUGAAAGAGAUUAAAGAUUUAUCGGUGAUGGAUGGGGAUGCGUCUGAUUAGCUUGUUGGCGGGGUAACGGCCCACCAAGGCGACGAUCAGUAGGGGUUCUGAGAGGGAGGUCCCCCACAUUGGAACUGAGACACGGUCCAAACUCCUACGGGAGGCAGCAGUGAGGAAUAUUGGUCAAUGGACGAGAGUCUGAACCAGCCAAGUAGCGUGCAGGAAGACGGCCCUAUGGGUUGUAAACUGCUUUUAUAAGGGAAUAAAGUUAGUCUCGUGAGACUUUUUGCAUGUACCUUAUGAAUAAGGACCGGCUAAUUCCGUGCCAGCAGCCGCGGUAAUACGGAAGGUCCGGGCGUUAUCCGGAUUUAUUGGGUUUAAAGGGAGCGUAGGCCGGAGAUUAAGCGUGUUGUGAAAUGUAGAUGCUCAACAUCUGAACUGCAGCGCGAACUGGUUUCCUUGAGUACGCACAAAGUGGGCGGAAUUCGUGGUGUAGCGGUGAAAUGCUUAGAUAUCACGAAGAACUCCGAUUGCGAAGGCAGCUCACUGGAGCGCAACUGACGCUGAAGCUCGAAAGUGCGGGUAUCGAACAGGAUUAGAUACCCUGGUAGUCCGCACGGUAAACGAUGGAUGCCCGCUGUUGGUCUGAAUAGGUCAGCGGCCAAGCGAAAGCAUUAAGCAUCCCACCUGGGGAGUACGCCGGCAACGGUGCAACUCAAAUGAAUUGACGGA